CUUAUUAGGUCCCAAGAACAAGAGACUAUUUUUUUUCCCAUGGAUUUCACUCAAUGUUAUCUUUAAAUAUCUGCCUUUUUUUUUUAAUUGAGUCACUUUCUUUUGGAUGCUACUACACUGACUUUGUAUGUAAAAUAGCAGAGCAAUUUCACACCCUAGAAGGAAUUUAUUUUCAUAAAAAUAAACACAGUAACUUUUUUAGGUGUUAAAACAUAAAGUAAAAAUAUAAUUUAAUAGUAAAUCAUUGCUUAAAAAUGCAUCUCAUCCCAAAAUUCUGGGCUACUCAAUGUUCUUAAGAGGUUGUAAUGAGCUGAAUUCAUUGGUUAAAUUAAAAUGCUUUUUCUCAUAUUCAGUAAAUGCAGUGUGUGUGCAAUUGAACAAAAAUAAAAUUGAAAUUUACAUUUUCAUCAAAUGAAUAACCACAUGCCGAGGAUUGCUUGACUGCAAUUUAUGAUUAUGCAAAUGAAACAGGUUUUGCAACUAGGAUAUGUACAAUAAAUGGGAGUUCCAUUAUUAUGUAUCAAAAAGCCAUUAACCUUGAAAAUUAUAUACAAUUGACAUGAACAUUUCUAAAAUAUAUCCAAAACCUGCUAAUGUUCCCCCUUCCUCCCCUAUGUAUAGGGCCUGUACAUUAGAUUUAGCAAAAGAAUUCAGAGUGAAUAAUUUUUUAAAUGAGCUCUGCCACUUUUAUGUUGGUGAGCUCUCUGUGACAACUUGCUGGGUCCUUUAUUCAUUAUUUAAAUCAGGAAAUGCUGCUGAUUAAUUCCUCAUCUGCUGACAAGAACGUGCAUUCCAAAAGCUUUUCAUAACCAGAAUUUGCUGUUUCAAAGUCCUGGUGAGGCAGCAGAGAGGGGGUGCUGAGGCUCAUGGCAGCUUCCCAGGUGACAGGUUUCCCUGUUGGGAGCCCUCCCCUGGCUACUCUCUGAGCAUUGCUGGUGUUUGAUGGGUAUAAAUCAGAUUUUCCUCUUCCUCAGGGACAAAAGCAGCAGAAGUGGAAGGAGAACAGGACCGGCCCAGAACACGCCAUCGGUUCUGGCUCUGCCUUGGUAUGGCAAGGCAAAGCAAACAGCCCAGAGCUUAAAGCCUUGAGAUAAUUUUCCAUGUAAUUCCUAAAAGAUGGUGCCUUUCUGAGUGGCUUUUUGGCUUGUGGAGAGGAGCCCCUUCUGUGGCACAGGCAGAGUGGGAAUGCUGGAGGUGCAGCCCCAGUUCUGGGGCAGGUUUGGCAGCUGCUGGGGGGUUGCAGUGCUCAGAUCCUGCACGCUCCAGCUGCUGCAGUCCUCACCCAGAAACAUUACCAGGAAAUCUCCAAGGCUCCCAGUGCCCUGCUAUGGAUUGCCAAAACUUUGAAAAGAAAAAUACACAUCACUGAGUGGUCAAAGAAUAUAAUGUUUCCAUAGGCUGGUUCUCAAGUGGUACCCCAAAGCUGGUCUGUUCUUUCAAUGACUGUUUCAUGGCUUUGCGGAAGUGUUUCAGCUGUAUCUCUGUGUCAGUUAUGCAUAAGGGUUUGAUAUCCUGGGGUUUUUUUGCCAUAGGAGGAUUUCACAGGAUGGUACACAAUGUGUAAGGUACCAAGUUUGUUGGUAGGAGAUGUCCUUUUGUCUGUUGUCCACAAUGUUUAAUUUGCCAGAAUUUCUGAGAUUCCUUUUCCUUACAUGCCCAGAGCUAUCACAGGAGACUGCUUAUAAUCUUUUAUAGAAAAUAAAUCAAAAUAAUACUAAACAUGACCCUCAUCAUCCUAAACCUAGCACCCUUUGGCUGCUCUUUUCUUCCCUUGUCUCUAUAAGAAAGUGAAUUCACUUUUGGAGUGGACUUUACAUCUAAACCACUGCCAAAAAAAUGCUAGCAUAGGGCACUAUACAGAUUAGAGUAGAUGGAAGUGUCAUAGAUGGGAAGGAGGACAGGAGGAGCUGGAAAUCUGUGUAUGUUUGGUUCAGUGUAAGGGUAGACACUGAUGUUUUGAGGAUUCUAAAAUAGAAAAUUGAGAGUACAACUGAUUCCACUGGCAAAACAGAAAAGUCUUGUUACAGACUUGGAAAAACCUGCAGGAGAAAGGGACAUAUGGAUAUUUAAUUAUAAUUUUUCAAUAUUACUUUUGAUCACAGGAAAUAGUCUUGUGACUUCUACUGAAGGAGGCUGCAGCAGCUCAACUCCCAAGAGCUGCUUUUGGCUGUAACCUUAAAUAAUCAUCUUCAUUCAAAUAGAAAAGGGGCAUCUUGUGUUACUUUUGAACUAGAAAAUUAUGCCCAGAGUUCAUAGAUAUUGCAGAGGAAUGUACUUAAAAUGCCAUUACCCAAAUUUUCCCUAAAACUGGUGGGAUGUGUUUGAACUGUGAAGUUUGACCUGAUGGGGGAUGCAGGUGCAUCCUGUAGGGUUAGCAAAGCUUUUGCUUUUUUACUUUAAGGUGGUUUAAUGUUUCUAUUCUAUAUGAAGGGUUGAAUUAAAGAACCCUUUAAAACAAUUUAAAGUUGGGGUUUUUUCCCCCUAACACUGUAUUUGCUGUCUAUUGCAAGGCCAUUCAGUAUCUACCUGGGGUGAGCUCUUGGGCGCCAUCAGCCUUCCCAGGUGGAAUGGCCCAUGGAAAUCCUUCUCACAUUGCUUCUUCCACCACAAGGAUGCAGCUGAGUGCUCCUGGGUGUCCCUGUUUACAUGGAAACACAAAAGAAAGUGGCUGUUUGCUCACACUGGCUCUUGCUUUCAUCACAAUCUACUGAGACAUCUUGGAAAAACAGCAUUUUUUUUUGUACUUUAACUCCUGAAAAAAAUCUGUCACAGAAUGGAUCAUGACUGAGCAUUUCAUGUGCUGCUGCUGCUAAGUUUGCCAGGGAACAACAGAAUGCCAGAUCUGUGUCUUAUUUUUCAUAACUCUCUGUAAACACCCCCCGAAUUAAUCCUAAGAAAUACCAGAAAUGCUAAUAUCUACUCUUUGUGUGUGCUCACAGAACAGAUUUAGGACACUCAUUUGAAGGCUGUAGAUAAAGCCAGCAUUUGCCAUAAGUUAAAAGCAUCCUUUUGACAUCUCUGGAACACAUUUCUCAAAGUACUGAGGAGUGAUAGAACUUUUAAUUCCACCAACAUGUCUGAUGUGUUCAAAUGGAGUGGUGCAGAACCCCACAGCCUCCCGCUCACCCUGCAUGUCCGAGUGCUGUGCCAGGGUUUGUGUGAGCACAUGGGAACACCCUCCCAAACCUGCCCUAACAGCUCCCAAACUCCUGUCAAAUAGGAUCUUUCUGGCAUCAUCUGCCUGCUGCGGUGCUCAUCCUCUCUUUCCUGAGGGUAGCAGUCAGCAGUGACCUCAGCACCAAUUCCUUAUUUUAGGGUAUCACAAGUUGGUGGGGCUGAUACCCCUCUGGGAAUAAGCUCAUUUUCCUCUGCUGGCAAAUACCACUCAAGAGUUUAUUCAGGGCUCCUGACUCCUGUGAAUUAGGAGUAAGAAACAUUUUUUAACAUGAAAAUGAGGCUGAAGCAGAAAAUGAUGGCUGUAAAGUAGCCUUGGUUGGUGCUUUCCUCAUCAAACAAGGAGCCUUAUUAAAAGACAAAAAAUAAUUUAAAACCCCUCCAUGAGGUACAGGUCUGUGAAGAGUUUUUAUUAUCUCUAACUCUUCAGCCACUAGGUGGUGGGAAAGUUGCAAUCUGAGAGGACUCAGGGACCUGAUCUGCCCUCCCAGGGUUAAUCCACAGCAGGCAGGAGUGAACAUAGCAUUCCUUAAAUCCUCGUGAAAUUUACCCUGAGGUGGCAUCUGGAUUGUGGCAUUGCUUUGUACAUCUCUAUCCAAAUGAGCUUUGUGCUGGAGAACCUUGUCCGUGUUACCAGGGCAGCUGGCAUGAAAAGAAUCCCUUUAGUGGCCAAUUUCAGUGGAGAAACGGAAACAAAUUAUCAAGAGGCGAGUUCAUGCUAAAUUCAAAGUACCACAGCCACAGUGCUGGCAGUGCCUGUUCUGAAGCUGACUGGUGUGCUGCAUGCCUGCAACCCCUGUGCCAUUAAAUAACUGAGAGAACUCCUAGAACACUUCAAUACAGAGUGCAAUGACUAAUUUUCCUCUCAGUUGCUUCUGUGGCUGAUAGUAUAAAGAGGAGGUGUGCAGUACUCCCAAAAAUAUUGUGUGCAUGGGCUGAGCCUUUCUUCCACAGUGCUCUGGAAUUUGCUGAGCUGGUUUUUUGUGUGGACAUUUGGGGAGGAAAUGGUUUGAUUUGAAAAUGUCUUUACCAGGUUUAUGACUCCCUGCUCUGCUCUGAAGGACAGCUCCAUAAAUACUCCUGGCUCUGGGAUCCCUCGCCAGGAUCUCUGUGGGGUGGCAGAUUCAUCACCUCCCUUUUUGAUCUUGGAAAUGAAUUGAAGUCCCAUCUUCUAAUGCAAAUGGCUGUGAUAGCAGCCCUUAACGAUUGAGGUAACUCCAGAGCAGGCUUUGGGAGCAUCAGGUGAUGGCAAUGCCUUUGAUUUAUGUGCCACCUUUCAUUACCAGCCAUCUCAAAGCACCUAUAAUUUCUGGCAAACCUGUGCUGAGUUAAUGGGUUAUUUCAGAGUCUAUUCAGCAAUAACUGUUAAGUGUUCAGAAGGAAGACUGAUUGAUGGGUGAGAUGGCCCAGAACUUUAAUUAUCUUAAUGAACAAUUUUUGAACUUAACAGAAAGUCUAGCACUAACACAAGUGGAGCCAUGAACUUUAAUUCCACCACUCAUUCCAUUAAACCCUGAGCUCAAUGGUAAUUUAAAGCCUUCUCUCUAGCUCUGUGUGUGUUUUUCAGAGGAGUCCACUGAGGCAUUGCUGACACAGAACCACUUCUGCUCUGGAACAUCCCACACCUGCAGAGAGCUCCAGGACCCAGUGACAAACAGCUCCUGACCCCGAGGAAGCUGCUAAAAAAAUUGAUAAGCAAUGAGUCAAGUUUAGCAGAAGGAAACAAAUAUUUAAAGCCUUCAGAAUAGCCCUUGGACAAUUAUUAACAAGCAGAUAUUAAAGACUCUGGUUCGACACCUGCUCCACUGUUUUGUCUACGAUAGGAAACAGAAGUGGUAGAUAGCUGAACCAGGGCAACAGGCACCAGGAAAACAGCAUGAAAGGCAAACAGAUUGCUGUUGAGAAGAUGGUUUUGGGAUGAUCUUAGUGUGAAAGUUCUUUUAAAAUUAGUAAUUGUGAUCACACAUUCAUUGUGUCAUCUACACCUCCUUGUACUCUUCUUACGCCUCUCAGUUAUUGUACUUUUAAACCUUAAUCAUUUUUCCACAGAAAUGAAAUUGUUAUUAGCAUCUGUUGUGUCUGCAUAAUUACUGUGCCUGUUAAAAGGCUUAUUUCUAUUAUUUCCAGAUCCUUUCCACAAAUCCUUACAUUGGUAAUUAGGAUAUCUUGCAAAUACUGGUACUAUGAAAAGGAUCAGAAAUUUUUAGCUUGAACUAACAAUUUCCUUCUGAUAACUCAUACUAUAGGGAGUACCAUAAAAGUAUUAAUAAUAUUAGAAAAAAGCAAUAAUUCCAAGCUGUGUUUUACUGUAUCGGUUGCCAAGGAGAUACAGUGCUGUGGGUGACUUUAGGACCUGGAUUCCUUAUACCAACUACAGCAGAAAUGUCAAGAACAUGAUAAUUAUUUAGGCUAGAAGGAAUUUAAAUAUAGUUUGUUCCACCUGUAUUUUCAUCCUGGAGAUUGAGGAGGGGUCAGAGAAGGCACCUGAGGGUGGGGGCUUGUGUCAGGAGCCCUUUUUGAGCAAUAGGGAGAGGUGAGUUGUGGAGGGUGACUUGAGGUGAAGUCACUGAGUGUCCACACGUGGACUCCUGGGAUUGCACUUCUGGGUUCCCCCGUGCCUGUGGGGAGCAGCAAGUGGGCACAUCCCCAGAAUGGCCUUUACACAAACAUAUUCCUACCCACACUUCCAUAGGGCAUUAAAAACAUGCCUGAAGUGCUAUGGGAAAGGCCCAGAGCUGCUGGAGUGCUUGCCAUGGGCUGCUCCCGCUGGGCAGGCAGGGCUGAGGGACAGGAGCUCUGGGGAUGGCCCUGCUCUGAGCCUGGCAAUCCUCAUCCCUCAGGGAGGAGAGGCUGAGCCCUGCAGCCCUCUGUGUGCACAGCCCUCCCUCUCACUGCUCUUCCCACAGUCCACUGAAGGGCUGCUCUGCUGGUCUCAGGCUGUGAUUCUCAGUGUUCAAUUAUCCUGCACAGAUGUUUUCUGCUGUUUCAGCCUCUGCCAGCAGAAGGAAGCUCAACUGCCUCUUACAUUUAUUCCCAAGGAAAAAUGGCUGAAGAGUUUUGAAGCCCCUUUUAGCCAGGUUUCCCUCAAAAGCCUGAUGUGGGUCAUCUCUGAGGAGCUGAAGGACAGUUUGGAGCCUUUCCAUUCCCUGCAGCCCCCUGAGCUGCCAGCCUGCUGGGCCAAUCCCCCACAUCCCAAAGAGGGGUUAUGGAGCCAUGGCUUCGCUGUGCAGGACAAACUUCUGGGAACUGGAGCUGAAGGAGGUGGAAAAGAGAGAUUUGAGCUUUGCCAGGAGCUGUACAUGGCAGCAAAGAGUCCUCUGGGAGAUCGCUCGAGUGAUUCACAGCUUCUCAUUCCUCCAUUUGUUUGUUUCUGUGAGUGAGUGGAUGUGCUGUGUGAGGGUGGCUGUGACCAGUUCUGGAGGCAAAGUUAAGUCUGGUUCCAGUGAUCAUACGGACAAAGCAGGAAAGUUGAGCAGAUCUCAAGGCUGGGCCUGCAGGAUCAGACCUGUCCUGAAGACCUCAGGGAAUGUUUCAAACUUCCCAGUCCUGCCUUUGCACUGGUGUGAGAGCAUCCCAUCCAUUGCUGCAAAACUCCUGGGAACCUCCCUGUUUUUAACAGAUGGCAAAGCAGUGUGGAAAAAGCUGGAAUGCUGAUAGGUUCUGUGCUGAAGUGAGAAAAGGAACCAUCAAAUACUUCUGUCAUCUCAUGGCUGGAUUUCCAGCAAGGACUGAAAUGCCCUGAAAUAGCCCAGCCUUGGUAACCUCCCUGGCACCAGCUGGGUCAGCCCUGUUAGUCCCCAGGUCCUGAGCCUGGCAGUGGGAUUAAGAGCAUCAAAGAACCUUCUCAGAAGUGGAACCAAGUCUUUUUUUAGUGUCUGUGAGCCACAGGAGGCACUGGCUGUGCUCGAGGGCAGUGGUGCACUUUUGCACUCAGGCUUCCAGCUCCUGAGCACCAGGUGUGCCCUCUGAUGGGGCUCCUUCUGCUCCUCUCCAGCCUUUAGCCCACCAGGCCUGGGAAUUUGCUCUGGGAGAGCAGCCCCAUUUUAUAAUCUUUCUUCAAAGAAUAUUUUUGAGACAUGCAAAGGAGAUUUAUUUAAACAGGGAGGUAAAACAAGGCCUAGUAAUAAACACAGAAGCCCUCCCUGUGUUUAAAUUCCUUCCUCACAGAAAUGUUUUCAUAUUAGGUUUCUUUUUCAAUUAUUUUCUUUUCCUAGACCUUGCAGAUGUUCACCUGGCAGGUGUGUUUCUGGUCAGCCUUUAGAGCUCGUUGUGAACAGAGCUGGGGGCUGAGUGCCCUGCCUGCCCUGGGGAUGGGCAGGGCUGUCCUGAGCACCACUGUGGGCAGUCACAGAGGGAAAACAGAAUUUGCAGCUGAAUUUUCCACAAGCACUUCACUGAGCAAAAAUGGCCACGACUGUUUGUCCCCUGGGCAGCUGUGAUUCUCUUUCUAGAAGACAGCAGUUAUGAAAUUAUUCCAAUGUGUGUGAAUUGGUGCUUGUUCUGCCAUUCUCACUGGAUUUAUUGGGGUUGAACUAACAGAAGGAGCAAAACUGCUCCUUAGUCACAUCUCUUGCACAAUUAGCAAUGCCAAUAAAAGCAGUGAGUGUGUGUUAUCCCUGCUCUGUGCUGUGACUGUCAGUGGGAGCAGCACUGAUGUAAUCACUUUCCACCACCAGCACAGGGACCUCUGGGUGUGCAAGAAGCAGCUCUAAUGAGCCACAUUCCAGCAAUCCCCAGCUGGAAAAUGGUUCCUACCUGGGGAAAUUACACUUGGAUACAGAUGGAUAGGACUGCUAAUGACAGUGUCUUAUUGAUAAAAGCACGUUUUUUGUAAAAAAACGAUGAAAAAGCCUUUAGUUACAUAUCCUGCAUGAUGAGAAGGAGCCCGAGCUGGCAGUGAGGGCAGCCCAGAGUGAGGGCAGGAGCAGAAGCCUCUCCAGGGUGUGAGGAGCAGCAGGGUCACUGCUGCAGGCCAGGUUCCCACAAGCCAGGCAGGCUGGAUCUAAGUGCCAGGGCAUGGGCAAGGACGGAAUGGAUUGACCAGGGAGCAAGGAAUUCCACAGGGGCCUUGCCAUCAGCAGGGAAACCCUGCCUGAGGGGCUGCUUGGGGCCUCCACAAAGGAUCUUCAAAAGCCCAAAAUGACUUUGCAGAAAUGAAUGGCUCUGGGCUGGCACGUUCAGGACCGAAGGGCUGACAGAACCUAAAAUGAUUCUCUUAACAGAAAAAUGAGACUCUGGCUCCUCUGCCAAAGCCUAGGGAUCUAAGGCUUUGUCUGGUGCAUACUAAAGAAUGGAAAAAAGGCUUCAGGAGAGAAAAAGAGAUCUCAGAAAGUGAGAAGAAAUAAACAGAAAGAUAACUGAUAUUUACAUUGUGAUCUUCCUGAUUAUUUGCUGUGCUAUUGCAUAAGUUUAUUUACUGAAUGCUGUCUUUUACCAAAUAGAUUGUUUCAUUUCUUCUUGAGAAUUGGUUUCUUUUGCUAUUUAAGCAAGCAGCCCACAGGAAUGCCUUUUCAUGCAUUCAAGUUACUCUGCAGACAGUGCUUGAGGCCUUUAGCAGUGUUUGUUUAGAAUGGGCUGAUUCCCCUCCUGCUCAUUGCAGGGCUCUGCUUUCAGGCAAUGCUUUAUCCAGUCUUAAUGACAAACACUGGGAGGAGGUUUAAGUCCCAAUAUGCAGCAGAAUGACUUUUAUUUGUUUAACUGGCAGCAUGUGGUAACUUCCUUUCCUUCUUCAGUAACCACAAGAUGCAGCCCCACCAGAGAUGUGGUGGUGUGUGUUUGGCACAGAGGAGUUUGUGCCUUUGGAUGCACCUCAGCAGCAGAUGCAAUCCCUCUGCCACAAACCCCUCACACAGAGAUUUGGGCUCUCUUUCCUUCCUGUGCUCCCUUUUGCUUCCAGUGUGGUAACAAUUCAUUCCUGGUUUUAUGCAAAGAGCAAUUAAAAUAAAGUAAGUACUGGCAAAACAGGAUUGCACUUUGGCAGUGGCAGCACGAAGUCAAAGCUGCUCUGGAGGCUGAUAACCUCUGUACAAUGUCUGCACUACAGCGAUUUCCAGCUGGGUGGAAACCCCUCCCUUUUUGACAGAUGCCAUCUGUAGUGUCAAGUUUCAGGUUUCAGCUCUGUCCCACCCUGUCCUGUCCUACUUUUGGCAGAUUCCUUUACUGCAGUUCAGCCAUCCUUGGCAACUCAGCAGCUGCAGGCAGAUUUUCCCUUCCUGGUGCUGCAAAUGCAGAGGAAGAAAGGUGACAAAUUCAGCUGGUGGCAUCAUUUAGUGUGGCAGGGGACUCUAGAGGUAAC